CUCAUUUUGAUUAAAUUAUAUUUGAAACUCUAUCAUGCAGCAUGUUAGAAUACAAUAUAUAAAUUUAGAUUUAACAAUAAUAAUAUUUGUUCUAACACAGGCACACAUAUAAUUAUAUACAAUCAAUAUUUUUAACAAUCCAUUUAUAAUAGCAUGAGUGAUGUGAAAUUAUAUACAGUCAUGAACAUUGUAAGGAAAUGUACAAGUUUGCAUAGAACCAUAGAUAUUAGAGGACCUAGAAACUAAAAUGAAAUUGUGGGCGUGGCUAUGCUAAGUCUAAGAUUGCGCAUGCUCAGUAGAUCUAGAGCUGUGAAACCAUGUGCUCCAAGAAAAGAGAAGACGAUUACCCUUUCUAUAUGCUGGACAUUUGCUGCUAUAAAUCUGACUGUGAUGAUACUUCUGUGAGAGGUAUGACUGUGACUACACCAAGUGGAUGAUGAUACUUCUGUGAGAGAAAUUCCUUAAACUGGCAAGCUUGACAUGCGAGAACAAACGAAACAAACAGACGAAUGGAUAGAAGUGGCGUCAUUGUUGGAUAUCCUCUCGGUGAUUGAUAAUACACGGUAAUAAUUAAUAUCAAUAACAAUGAUGUAUUUACUAUUAUAGGUGGACUCUGCGUGGUCAAGAGUGAUCGGUCUGCUAUACUUGUGAGUCCAGUAUGUUACACCAAGAAGAACUAUUCCUUGGGCUAAUUAAUAUAAAACUGUCCUUCUAAUUUAACAUUGUAUACCAUUGUCUCACUCAGUUGUCACGAACGUUUCCUAUCACUAUUUUUGUAUUAACAUGUUAUUUAUUGAAUUGAAUAAUAAUUGUUAUACCGA